GUCCACUGAGUAAUGACUACAGAGGGAAUAUGGACAUAAAAUCUUCUAGAAUACUGAUAUAGCUUACAAUGUUAAAUUUACUCAUAAGUAUGAUUUGCAAUUGCAUGUAACAUCUGCAGGAUUUAUACAUGAGACUUGAUUGUGGAGAAGUUUAUUACUUGACGAUAAAUUUCUUUUCACAUUUCAUGAAUACUUUUUUAUACUUGUGAAUUGUGAUAAUAAUUUUCUGCAGUGGACAUGAAAUCACAGUUUCAAAGUUAAAGUUAUCACAAGGGCUCAUCAAUUAUCAAAAUAGUGAAAUGUUUGGCUAGGAAUCAAAUGUCUUUCACACUUCAAUGUAAAUACACAGAGAAAAGA
rnacentral:misc_RNA from 1 species